GCAUUUGUGGUUCAGUGGUAGAAUUCUUGCCUGCUAUGUGGGAGGCCCAGGUUUGAUUCCUGGCUAAAGCA
rnacentral:tRNA from 1 species